rnacentral:rRNA from 1 species
UACGGAGGGUGCAAGCGUUAUCCGGAUUUACUGGGUUUAAAGGGUGCGUAGGCGGGCAUGUAAGUCAGUGGUGAAAUACCGGAGCUUAACUUCGGAACUGCCAUUGAUACUAUAUGUCUUGAAUAUUGUGGAGGUAAGCGGAAUAUGUCAUGUAGCGGUGAAAUGCAUAGAUAUGACAGAGAACACCGAUUGCGGAGGCAGCUUGCUACGCAAAUAUUGACGAUGAGGCACGAAAGAGUGGGGAGCAAACAGG